rnacentral:rRNA from 1 species
AGCGAACGCUGGCGGCAGGCUUAACACAUGCAAGUCGAGCGGGCGUAGCAAUACGUCAGCGGCAGACGGGUGAGUAACGCGUGGGAACAUACCUUUUGGUUCGGAACAACACAGGGAAACUUGUGCUAAUACCGAAUAAGCCCUUACGGGGAAAGGAUUAUCGCCGAAAGAUUGGCCCGCGUCUGAUUAGCUUGUUGGUGAGGUAACGGCUCACCAAGGCGACGAUCAGUAGCUGGUCNGAGAGGAUGAUCAGCCACAUUGGGACUGAGACACGGCCCAAACUCCUACGGGAGGCAGCAGUGGGGAAUAUUGGACAAUGGGCGCAAGCCUGAUGCAGCGACGCCGCGUGAGGGAUGACGGCCUG